rnacentral:lncRNA from 1 species
UUUAGCUCCUCAGUCUCAAAAGAUAUUAGAGCUCAGAUGAAGAACCUCAAGUUAGCGUAAAAAGGAUAGAGCAGAAGACAUAUUGAACAUUCCAAGACAAGAAAGAAAAAAAGAAAGAAAGAGGGAAGGAGGGAAGGAGGAGAGAAAAGAGAAGGAAAGGAAAGGAAAAGAAAAAAAACAUGCCAACAACCCUUAUCAAUUGAGACAAAGCAAGUCUGCCUCUGCCUGGAUUAAAGAAGAUGUGACCGAUGUGACCAGUAAGAGGACAUUUAUGGGAACACUAGUGAAGCCACAAAAGCAGCCUUAAGUUUGGUAUGCCCCUGACUGCAUUGGACACAGCAGCGGGACAGCUUCUAUCUGGGCUGAAACAGAGGCAGUAAAGAAACACUCCCAAGCCUCUCACUAACCAAGAUCAUGGUGAUACACCAUGGACGGCACUGGGGAGGAUGAAGCAGGAGAGUGGAAAGUUUUACAAACAAAAGCCUGACAGAGGGAAUUGAGCUAGCCUGGUGUGGACAAGGUUAUGACCAGGAGGAGCUGCUGACUACGCUUUUCCACCUGUAUUCUCUUCCACAGAACUAAGGAAAGGGCGGAACCUGAAGCAGAGACAAACUGAGGAGAUACUUGGAAAGAGGAGAUCUCAUAACUUUUC